rnacentral:rRNA from 1 species
UACGGAGGGUGCAAGCGUUAUCCGGAUUUACUGGGUUUAAAGGGUGCGUAGGUGGAUUGGUAAGUCAGUGGUGAAAUACUUUCGCUUAACGAAGGAACUGCCAUUGAUACUAUCAAUCUUGAAUGUAGUGGAGGUAGGCGGAAUGCGUCAUGUAGCGGUGAAAUGCUUAGAUAUGACGCAGAACACCAAUUGCGAAGGCAAGCUUGCUACACUACUAUUGACACUGAGGCACGAAAGCGUGGGGAUCAAACAGGAGUUAGAAAACCCGGAUGAGAACGUC